AACACAAAAGAAAUCGCUCCAGGCGACACCAGAAGUUUAGGCCAUCCACCAAGAACAACCACAGAGGCAGAUCAAGGAACAAUCACAGAGGUCUCACACAUACACACACACCUCGCAGAGAUGAGCAGCACGACAGUGCUGUUCUCGCCGAGCUCCUCCCUGUUCCUCACCAAACCUUCUCCCCUCACCAAGAGCAGGGCGGCGGCGGCGUUGGCGGCGGCUGUGAGGUGCAGCAAUGAGCCAGCCCUUUCAGUGUCGCGUGAGGAGGAGGGAGUAGAAAUGAUG
rnacentral:lncRNA from 1 species